rnacentral:rRNA from 1 species
CCUAAUACAUGCAAGUCGAACGCAAUUCUUUAACAAUGAGUGCUUGCACUCAGCGUUUUAAGUGCGAGUGGCGAACGGGUGAGUAACACGUGGGCAAUCUGCCCAAAAGUGGGGGAUAACACUUGGAAACAGGUGCUAAUACCGCAUCAACCGGCUGACCGCAUGGUCGGCCGGGCAAAGACGGCGUAAGCUGUCGCUUUUGGAUGAGCCCGCGGCGUAUUAACUAGUUGGUAAGGUAACGGCUUACCAAGGUGAUGAUACGUAGCCGAACUGAGAGGUUGAUCGGCCACAUUGGGACUGAGACACGGCCCAAACUCCUACGGGAGGCAGCAGUAGGGAAUCUUCCACAAUGGACGCAAGUCUGAUGGAGCAACGCCGCGUGUAUGAAGAAGGUCUUCGGAUCGUAAAAUACUGUUGUCAGAGAAGAACACGGGAUAAAGUAAUUGUUGUCCCGCUGACGGUAUCUGACCAGCAAGUCACGGCUAACUACGUGCCAGCAGCCGCGGUAAUACGUAGGUGGCAAGCGUUGUCCGGAUUUAUUGGGCGUAAAGGGAACGCAGGCGGUCUUUUAAGUCUGAUGUGAAAGCCUUCGGCUUAACCGGAGAAGUGCAUUGGAAACUGGGAGACUUGAGUGCAGAAGAGGAGAGUGGAACUCCAUGUGUAGCGGUGAAAUGCGUAGAUAUAUGGAAGAACACCAGUGGCGAAAGCGGCUCUCUGGUCUGUAACUGACGCUGAGGUUCGAAAGCGUGGGGAGCGAAC